AUUGAACGCUGGCGGCAUGCUUUACACAUGCAAGUCGAACGGUAACAGGGUGCUUGCACCGCUGACGAGUGGCGAACGGGUGAGUAAUGCGUCGGAACGUGCCGAGUAGUGGGGGAUAACGCAGCGAAAGUUGUGCUAAUACCGCAUACGUACUGAGGUAGAAAGUGGGGGACCUUCGGGCCUCACGCUAUUCGAGCGGCCGACGUCUGAUUAGCUAGUAGGUGAGGUAAAGGCUCACCUAGGCGACGAUCAGUAGCGGGUCUGAGAGGAUGAUCCGCCACACUGGGACUGAGACACGGCCCAAACUCCUACGGGAGGCAGCAGUGGGGAAUUUUGGACAAUGGGCGAAAGCCUGAUCCAGCCAUGCCGCGUGUCUGAAGAAGGCCUUCGGGUUGUAAAGCACUUUAAGUUGGGAGGAAGGGUUGUAGAUUAAUACUCUGCAAUUUUGACGUUACCGACAGAAUAAGCACCGGCUAACUCUGUGCCAGCCGCCGCCGUAA
rnacentral:rRNA from 1 species